rnacentral:lncRNA from 1 species
CUUUAAAUUUGUCACUCACACACACACAAAAUGCAACCAACAACCGGGUGGAAUGUUUUGUUCUGGCUACAUGGCAUCAUAAAUUAAACAUAAAUUCUGUUGUUAAACCCCCCUCCCCAACAAAAUUGAACAACUACAACAACAAAGACAACAAAAAUUUUAAAAGCAUAGAAGUGCUAGUAGAAAAAGGAAAAGAAAAACAAAUACACACACAGAAAGAAAGAUGAAAUCUCUAUGGAAGAGACACAAAGGAGGCACACAUUGUAAAUAAUUUGGUUAAACAUUACAGCAGUUGGAGGGACAUUGGUGGCAAUCAGUCCUGGGAAUAUUCCCUAAUAACUAUGGGCUUUGUUUUCCAUGGCCACAGAUGCACAAGAAGUAAGCUCUUGAGAGCAUGUAAGAAGGAAGUUGGAAAAUAACACAAAAAGUGCCCCUGGAUCAGUGAUACACUAUUGUGAUUGGCUCAGCCGCAAAGAGAAAAUCACCUGGAGGUAACAACUGCUCACCAAAGGCUGCGUGGGGUUUUCACAGCACUGGAAGAGGCCACACACAGGAGGCCGACGUGAGGUGGGGUUAGGACCUACUGUAACAAACUCUUAUGAAUGUUUUCCAAAGCAUCCCAAAAGCUGCUCAUUUAUUUUAUAAGGAAAAUAUAAAACGAAUUCUAAACCAAAGACGUUUUCCUCAUUAAACACACACACCUGUUGUCCAGUUUUCCAUAGCUUGUUUGCUAUUCUCUCUCUUGCCCCAACAGUGGAUAAGACAUUCUAUAAUUUUCAUAAAUCUAUCAGUAAAUGUUAAAAAUAAUGCAUCAAAUUCCAAUAAUGUUUAUAUCAGAUAUGUAAUUAUGUUUAAUACAGGGAUUUCUGUUAUGAAAGAUAUGAUCAAAAUGGCCAAAUAUGAAAUAGUAAAGUUGUUUACAGCAUGGGCUUCAAUGUCAAAUGCCUAAUGGUUCAAGUCUCGACAGAAUCGUGUCUGUGUGCCUAUUUUACUCCUUCCAUAUUAGAAAUAUGAUAAAACGGGAAUCAAAGGAGUCCUUCUUAAUUGUAUAGAGUGGUGAUCUAAAAACAAUAGUCAUUGUCAUAUUCAGGGUAAUUUACAGAUGCUUUCUCUUAAAUGAAGCACAACACAGGAAAACUAUAUACAACUUAGAAACUGUCCUCUCCACCAGCACCAGCCACCUGGAAAAUGUAUUGAAAAAAGAGAUCUCAUUUACCAUAGUACAAACAAUAACAUGUUGGCACAACCACAAAAGAUCCGUUGUAGGACCUCCAGAUUGAAAAAGUCAUUGCGAUGAAGGGUUUGAAAGACACUUUCAAAAAUGUAAAAUGUAUAGUGUGUUCCGUAUUACUAUUCCACUCUCCUUAUACAGUAUACAGAAGUAAGUUCUAAUUUUCAAAAGUUCCCAGAAUUUGUUUUGGAUAUGGAUGCAAUUUAGAUUCAAAUUCUUUUGACUUCAAAUUUAGUCAAAUUCUUUUGACUUGGCUUUUACAUGGCUUCAGAUUUAAUAUUUUAUGAAAUAUUUCAUAAUAGUUAUAUAGAUAUAACUAUAUAGCUAUACAUAGUUAUAAUAGUUAUAUAUAAUUAUAUAUAUAGUUUUCAUAUAGUUAUAUAGUUAUAAUAGUUAUAUCUAUAUAACUAUUAUGAAAUAUUUCAU